AUUUGAUUGACGUCUCUUCUCUUCUCUUCCCCCUCUCGUCGGGUAAGUCGCAGGUAUGGCCAUGGGGUAAUCGGUUCAGAUCUCGCGCUCCUUGUUUCGCUGUUCGUCGUUUGAUUGUAAUUCCAGGCGAGCGUUUCUGUCUGGGUUGUGGUGCUCCUUACGUUGAUUUCGAUCGAGGCGUAGUUCCGGUGAUUUGUCCUCCUCCGUUCCGGUGAUGUUGGUAUCGUCUUCUGAACCUCGCUGCUUUGGUUUAGGUCGCAGCUAAUCUAUUUUGCUUUGACUUCUGAUCUGAUUUAGGGUCGUGGCUAAUCCAUCAUGCUGAUUGCGAUAUGAUUUAGGGUCGUGGCUUAUCCAUUUUUAUCCUAAUUGCUGAUUUGAUUCAAGGCUGUCACGAUUAAUGGAGAUUAUUUUUGGCGAGAGCAACCAGUUGUGUUAGUUUAAUGGAGAUUAUUUAAACGUGGAGCAGUUUAUUUGCUUUCAUCUCUGUUCGUUACGGUGGAUUGGUCUUGGUCGGUUUAGUUGAUUCCUUGGAGAUGUUUGACAUGAUCGGAAUAAGAGAUUGAAGGUUGAGUGGUUUGGAUUGGUCUGUUCCAUUGGUGAUUCAAUAAUGUUCUGCGUACAGUGCUUUAUCUUUUUGCGGUGAAAAACAGUGAUUUGGGAGACAGUCCAGACAGUCAAAUUUCUGCAGUUUUUCUGCAUUUGAUCCCGUUCUUUCAUGACUUAGUCAGAUUCAAUAAGAGUUAGUGGAAAAAGGUUUGCUAUGCCUAUCCGGAUAUAUUUGCUUUCGCCUAGCAGCCUAUGCAUGUCAGACCAUAUCAAAGGGAUUUUGCUAUGUUGUGUGCUGUGUUAUAAAUGUAGAGCUGGGAUAUGUACUUCUUGAACUGUGUGGACAUGCUCAUGGUGGAGAUUCUUCAGUGGCUAUAUUUAGGUCACACCUUUUGAUUGGUUUCAUUUCAAGAUCCCUAAGAAUAUCGGAGGUGCUUGUUUUGUUUGCGUUCUAGAUGUAACUUUCUUGGGAAGUACCCUCAAAGAACAUGGAAGUUUGCUUUUGAAGUAAUCUGUUUGAAGUUUCAAGUACAUUGAAGAAAGCUGCUGAACUAGUUUACUGCCUGCCAUGUUUUGAUUGGGUGACACAUCAAGGUCUAUUCAGAUGCUGAUUACUGUGUUGGAAUCUACC
rnacentral:rRNA from 1 species